UAUAAAUGCAAGCUAGAGGGCAGCUUGUGUGCUAAGCAGACUUGUAAAACACAGUCCUGUCUGUCUGCACCAUGGCCUGGGCUCCUCUCCUCCUCACACUUCUGGCUCACAUCACAGGGGCUGAAUCCCAGGCUGUGGUGACUCAGGAAUCUUCACUGUCCAUCUCUCCUGGAGGGACAGUCACACUCACCUGUGCUUCCAGUACUGGGGCUGUCACAACUAGUAACUAUGCUGCCUGGGUCCAACAAAAACCCUCUGAAAUAACAAAGAGUCUAAUAUAUGGUACCAGCAACCGAAGCCCAGGGGUUCCUGCCCGAUUCACAGGCUCCUUCCUUGGAAACAAGGCUGCCUUCACAAUCACAGGGGCCCAGACUGAAGAUGAGGCCACCUAUUACUGUGCCUUGUGGUAUAGCAACCAUUUCCACAGUGAUACAAGCCUAAGGGGAAGUGAGACAUAA